AUUGAACGCUGGCGGCAGGCCUAACACAUGCAAGUCGAACGAGUGGCGGACGGGUGAGUAAUGUCUGGGAAACUGCCCGUGGGCGGGGGAUAAGUACAGGAAACGGUAGCUAAUACCACAUACCAUCGGAUGUGCGCAGGUGGGAUGGGCUUGUAAGUGAGGUAACGGCGCACCUGGGCACCGAUCCCUAGCUGGUUUGAGAGGAUGACAGGGCACACGGGAACUGAGACACGGUCCAGACUCCUAGGCGAGGCAGCGGGGGGGAAUAUGGCACAAGGGGCGCAAGCCUGAUGCAGCCAUGCCGCGUGUAUGAAGAAGGCCUUCGGGUUGUAAAGUACUUUCAGCGGGGAGGCGGUACCUGCAGAAGAAGCACCGGCUAACUCCGUGCCAGCAGCCGCGGUAAUAC
rnacentral:rRNA from 1 species